rnacentral:rRNA from 1 species
AUUGAACGCUGGCGGCAGGCCUAACACAUGCAAGUCGAGCGGUAGAGAGAAGCUUGCUUCACUUGAGAGCGGCGGACGGGUGAGUAAUGCCUAGGAAUCUGCCUGGUAGUGGGGGAUAACGUUCGGAAACGGACGCUAAUACCGCAUACGUCCUACGGGAGAAAGCAGGGGACCUUCGGGCCUUGCGCUAUCAGAUGAGCCUAGGUCGGAUUAGCUAGUUGGUGGGGUAAUGGCUCACCAAGGCGACGAUCCGUAACUGGUCUGAGAGGAUGACCAGUCACACUGGAACUGAGACACGGUCCAGACUCCUACGGGAGGCAGCAGUGGGGAAUAUUGGACAAUGGGCGAAAGCCUGAUCCAGCCAUGCCGCGUGUGUGAAGAAGGUCUUCGGAUUGUAAAGCACUUUAAGUUGGGAGGAAGGGCAGUAAAUUAAUACUUUGCUGUUUUGACGUUACCGACAGAAUAAGCACCGGCUAACUCUGUGCCAGCAGCCGCCGUAA